rnacentral:rRNA from 1 species
UGGGAAUCUUCCACAAUGGGCGCAAGCCUGAUGGAGCAACACCGCGUGAGUGAAGAAGGGUUUCGGCUCGUAAAGCUCUGUUGUUAAAGAAGAACACGUAUGAGAGUAACUGUUCAUACGUUGACGGUAUUUAACCAGAAAGUCACGGCUAACUACGUGCCAGCAGCCGCGGUAAUACGUAGGUGGCAAGCGUUAUCCGGAUUUAUUGGGCGUAAAGAGAGUGCAGGCGGUUUUCUAAGUCUGAUGUGAAAGCCUUCGGCUUAACCGGAGAAGUGCAUCGGAAACUGGAUAACUUGAGUGCAGAAGAGGGUAGUGGAACUCCAUGUGUAGCGGUGGAAUGCGUAGAUAUAUGGAAGAACACCAGUGGCGAAGGCGGCUACCUGGUCUGCAACUGACGCUGAGACUCGAAAGCAUGGGUAGCGAACAGGAUUAGAUACCCUGGUAG